ACACGCACGAGUUUUCAAAAGAGCUCCCGUUACCACGCGGUGUUCGGUGACACUCACCCCGCCUUUGUUCUUAUUGAGCACGCGUGUGUAAGACAAGGAUUUUGCUCUGCGGUACAUUUUUGAAUGUGACCAAAGUGACAACUUCAGGCCCGCUGGCCACGAAUGGCGGUAUGGUAAGUGCGCCCAUCCCUGGACAGACAGGAUUCGAUCCUCUUGCGAUCAACCCUCUGUACCCCUACUCUCGUCCAGCCACGCCCAUCUGAUCCAGAGGUACAGUGCACUCAUCAGAGGCCAACCAUGGUCUUCAGGAUGUUACAAGGGUUGUGGACAAAGCCACUAAAUAUACAGCUGAUGGAUUCUAUUUGAGCAUCGGUGGGUUAAAAAAUGCAGAGAACAAUUUGCUUACAUCUUCACAUUUGAGGGGUAUCAGAUGCAUCUGAGCCACUGUCGAUGCAGGCAAUGACAGCCGCCCGACAGACAUCCGCUGAGGCGCAGGUUCGCCCAAGGUCCGCCUCUCUAAUGUUCCUUCUACCUCUGCUAAUCCAGCGAUCCAUCCAUGCUCUCCACUUAGAACCUGUGGGAGCACCGCUCCUCAGAACACAAGUGGCCAACUUUCACACCAAGAGCCAAGCUUGACAUUGAGACAAGAAAUUAUGCAGAGGCUCCACGCCAUGAUGGCCCAACAACAAGCUGUUAGUAAUGGUGGGAAGCAACCAAUGUGGAUGCAAGAGAUAUGAGACAGGCGGGACAGCAGCUUUUACGGUCAUCAACGUCAAGUCCACCAUCAACUCCUGCCAUCAGUCUCACCCCCGUGUUGACCUCAACACACCCACCAACACCAUGUAGACCACCAAAUCAACCACCGGGGUGAUGUCUUCAGAGCAACUUAUCCAACUCUCCCAACACCUCUAAUUGCGCCACCUGCCUCUAUCCCAGCAUCCAAUGACAACAGGUGAUCUAGCAUGUUCACCGGUACCAUCCCUCUCAUCGAUUCUACCAGCUGUGCCCAUGCCUGUGGCCCUGGCAACUUCAUCAGUAGUGCCACCAAUUAAGUCCACCUCUUCCCACACCACCCCUGACACCACCUCCAUCCACUCCAGCAAACUGAUGACAGGUAGUCUGCUGCGUCCACAUGGCCUGACCCUGCCAUCAAAUCAACAAGCUGUUCUUCUUCCUAUCAUCGCUCCUGCCCAAGACAAUCCAUCAAAGGUAGUUCCGCCAUCAACACCACGAACACUUGCACCGACACCUUCAUGGACACCACAUCAAUCAGUGCUAAUGCUAUUCCUCUACCAACACUAGCCGCACCUUGCCCACCUCCCGGGAGCUCCCCCAACAAGGCUAGCUACAGUUACGCUUUCCCAUCCAACUACACUGGCAGUUCAGUCAGCAGCACCUGUCCAAGUCACACCACUUACUUUUGCAAAAGGAGACGACGUGCAACCAUUCAAAAACCACCAGUCAUUGGAAAGAAGCAAAGGGAAGGGACUCACCUCUAGUACAGGCUCAGCUAACACAGCCCACUGUGCAGAGGUUCCAAGCCCCCUUACCAGCUGAGUUACCUUUCAUCCCGAUACAAAAAUAUGAUGACUUGGAGGAUGUAACUAACCAAGGACAGCCUGUCGCCUUGGGACUGGAGCAUUUGGUGACAUCCUUCUAAAGAGAAGGAAGUCGGUGGGUGGUCAUCAAGUGGCUUAGGAAAGUACAAGACCCAAAUGAAGCAUGUAUGGAAAAUGAUCAAAGAUAUCAGAUGCAUGAUUGCCGUGCAACAUCACCAUGAAUUCCCCACCCUUUGGGGAAUUCAUUUGGGAAAUUCAAUGACCAGAAAACAUCAUCACCGCCAUUGAGUUUAUCAGCAGUGGAACAAACUUCACAUGUACUGAUCUCUACUUUUUUCUGCUCAAUCCGCCUGACUUGACCACAACGGACUACAUCCACAUAUGCCUGGACAUAUCAAGAGGACUGCUUGCCCUGCAUGAGGCUGGAUGGUCCCACAAUGACCUGUAUACUUGCAACAUCAUGAUUUGGCGUGAUCCAGGCAGGUCCAACAACUGGACUGCCAAAAUUAUCAACCUGGGACUCGUUACGAGGAUCGACCUACCACCACCAACAUUUAUGUUUGACUCACUCAAGAAGUCGUGGUGUUAUUAAAACUUCCCACACAUAGCCCCAGAUACCGUAGACGGUGUAUGCCAGCAAGGAGUUAAAGCAGAAAUCCACAGUUUAAGAUACUUAGUCCACAUAACAGCAGACAACAAGGGAGAGCAUUGCAAAGCUAGAAUGCCACAUGACCGCCCCACCUUGGAAUCAGUCAUUAGGAAUAUUGGAAAUCUGUUGGCUGCUAGAAGUGGUGCAGUACCAUAGAAAAGUGAAUCUAAUUCUUUGGUUCAACAAAUUUUGACAAAUAAAAAACGAAAAAUAAAAAGUACAAUUUUUGCGCUAUUGUUAAAGAAAACCACGACAUGUAAUCUUUUAGAAAGGUUUAACUUGGUACCUGAGAAAGUUAGUAUAUCAGUAUGUAGUGGUUAGUCUAUAUGUUGAAAGAUCCAUGAACAAUGAUGACAACAUUAAUACGAUUGCACACUGCUGACCGUCACUGCACCCUGUGUCAAAAAAUACAAAAGUGCUGCCUAAAAUAAACCCAAGCAAGCAACAGUGAUAGUUUACUUCUGAGAAUGGAGGCUGUACAGCAAUUGCAAGUGGAUAAAAUUAUCCCUAGGCAACAUCAACUGGAAUUUAUUUUUUUGAAAGAGACAAACUGAAAUGCAAAAUGGUUUUCAAAGUAUUGAGAAUUACGGAUCACCUUGUCAUUUCAAAUUAUUCCUUAAUUCACAUGCAGGAAGUUGGUAUGGAAUUCUUUGGUCAUGAAUGACGAUAGCAAAACUUGAGAAUCACCUUAAAUAGAGGUAUCAGUUAUGAGUUGCAAGACACUGGGUACAUGAAAGUCACGGUCUUGUAAAUUCUACAGUUUAAUAAACUGUUUAAAAAUGAAAGGUGCAUCUCCACUUGUCUUUAAGUUUGUAUAUGACAUUCAUGGAUCAGCUCAAUACAACACAACUAAUUCUUGGUGAUGCAAUCCACAAUUUAACCAUAGGAAAGGGGCCAGGGGGCAGAAUCCCAAAAUUAUCCAAAAAGUAAAACUGGUGGUUUUUAUGACAAUUUUCUAUUUCUUUAACCCAAAUUUCUCAUACGCCAAUCAAUCCGCCCAACAAAAGAGAG